rnacentral:rRNA from 1 species
UGCUCCUUUGACGUUAGCGGCGGACGGGUGAGUAACACGUGGAUAACCUACCUAUAAGACUGGGAUAACUUCGGGAAACCGGAGCUAAUACCGGAUAACAUAUUGAACCGCAUGGUUCAAUAGUGAAAGGCGGCUUUGCUGUCACUUAUAGAUGGAUCCGCGCCGUAUUAGCUAGUUGGUAAGGUAACGGCUUACCAAGGCAACGAUACGUAGCCGACCUGAGAGGGUGAUCGGCCACACUGGAACUGAGACACGGUCCAGACUCCUACGGGAGGCAGCAGUAGGGAAUCUUCCGCAAUGGGCGAAAGCCUGACGGAGCAACGCCGCGUGAGUGAUGAAGGUCUUCGGAUCGUAAAACUCUGUUAUCAGGGAAGAACAAAUGUGUAAGUAACUGUGCACAUCUUGACGGUACCUGAUCAGAAAGCCACGGC